rnacentral:rRNA from 1 species
GACGAACGCUGGCGGCGUGCCUAGUACAUGCAAGUAGAACGCUGAAGGAGGAGCUUGCUUCUCUGGAUGAGUUGCGAACGGGUGAGUAACGCGUAGGUAACCUGCCUGGUAGCGGGGGAUAACUAUUGGAAACGAUAGCUAAUACCGCAUAAGAGUAGAUGUUGCAUGACAUUUGCUUAAAAGGUGCAAUUGCAUCACUACCAGAUGGACCUGCGUUGUAUUAGCUAGUUGGUGGGGUAACGGCUCACCAAGGCGACGAUACAUAGCCGACCUGAGAGGGUGAUCGGCCACACUGGGACUGAGACACGGCCCAGACUCCUACGGGAGGCAGCAGUAGUGAAUCUUCGGCAAUGGACGGAAGUCUGACCGAGCAACGCCGCGUGAGUGAAGAAGGUUUUCGGAUCGUAAAGCUCGGUUGUAAGAGAAGAACGAGUGUGAGAGUGGAAAGUUCACACUGUGACGGUAUCUUACCAGAAAGGGACGGCUAACUACGUG